rnacentral:rRNA from 1 species
CUCCUACGGGAGGCAGCAGUAAGGAAUAUUGCACAAUGGGCGCAAGCCUGAUGCAGCAACGCCGCGUGCCCGAGGACGGCCUUCGGGUUGUAAAGGGCUUUUCUGGCUGACGAGGAAGGA